GAAUUUCGAUUAACUCUCAGUCUCUGACUGAGAAAACUGGAAG
rnacentral:ncRNA from 1 species